rnacentral:rRNA from 1 species
CAGUCGCCACGGGAAUACGGAGGGUGCGAGCGUUGUCCGGAUUUAUUGGGUUUAAAGGGUGCGUAGGUGGCUUUAUAAGUCAGUGGUGAAAUACGGUUGCUCAACAAUCGAGGUGCCAUUGAUACUGUAGAGCUUGAAAUAAUUGGAGGCUGCCGGAAUGGAUGGUGUAGCGGUGAAAUGCAUAGAUAUCAUCCAGAACACCGAUUGCGAAGGCAGGUGGCUACGAUUUGUUUGACACUGAGGCACGAAAGCAUGGGGAUCAAACAGGAUUAGAUACCCCCGUAGUCCCUGUAUCUUAUAA